rnacentral:lncRNA from 1 species
UGCAAAUAAUUUGACAUGAUGUUAUUUUCAUGUAAUAACAAAUGAUAUUAAUGUAUUGCGGCUAAAACGUUUUUACUAUCCUGUUCAUAAAGGAUGAACUGAGUAUGUUUGUUAAUUUAAUGUUUUUAUUUUAAAAAUUGAAUUACGCACGAUGUAUAGCAAUCUAGUAAACAAUUAUUUUAAACAAGUUUUUAAAAAAAUGACAAACUGGUAUAAAUAGAACAUGUAAGCGGUUAAAAUAAUAAUCUAAUCACAUUGACAUUGAAUAUGAAACUCUUGCUUGUUGGGAUUGUAUGCGUUUGUCUUUAUGGUAAGUUUUCUUUCAUUUUAUUUCUACAAUGUCCAUACACAAUAUGUAUUGACCAGAAUAAGGUGACAGUAGUUUACUAAUGUUUAAACCUCGUUAAACGAGAAACAUUUUCUAAAGUAGAGGUUUAUUAUUUUUUAAUUCAGCUUUAUCGAUUAUGUUUCAAUUUGCUACGUUUAUAAGCAAAGUUUUUUUUCGAACUUAAGUGUUCUGUGUAGUGUUUUGUUUUGUUUUUUUUGUAAAAUUUUCAAAAAAGUAUCAACACUUUCAAUUACCUACUAUCAAAUAGUUAUCAAAGGUACCAGGAUUAUAAUUUAGUACGCCAGACGCACGUUUCGUUUACAUAAGACUCAUCAGAGACGCUCAUAUCAAAAUUGUUAUCAAGCCAAUCAAGUAUAAAAUUGAAGAGCAUUGAGGAUCAAACAUUCCAAAAAGAUGUGCCAAAUACGGCUAAAUUUUAUGUAGAUUAGCCCUGAUAAUUUCAAUAAUUGUUGUGUAGUUUGUAUAUACUAUCGGCUGCAUAAAAUUAGGAACUCUUGUCUUCUCGAAAUAAAAUUUAGUAUACAACUAGGGAGGUAUCAAUACUUAUUUCGUUGAAAGCAGUGCAGCCUUUAAUAUACAUAUCAGGAAUCGGAUGUUCAGUGGGUGUCGUCUGUUUGUGUGGUUUAUACCUGUUUCUUGUUUUUAUAUAGAUUAGAUCUUUGGUUUUCCCGUUUGAAUGAUUUUACACUAGUAAUUUUGGGGGGCUUGCUGUUCGGUGUGAGCCAAAGCUCAGUGUUGAAGGCCGUACCUUGACCUAUAAUGGUUUACUUUUAUAAAUUGUUACUUGGAUGGAGAGUUGUCUCAUUGGCACUCAUACAACAUCUUCCUAUAUAUAUACACAUGAUUUUUUUCAGGCAUUGUACUGAGUUGUACAACAUGUAAUUUACACAGUGAUGACUGUUCCUCACAUUGUAAAAGUGGAGGAGCUCCCCAUUGUCAUUAUCAUAAUAGUACCACUAACUGCUGUUUCUGUGAAAUUCCAAUUGAAUGUCAUCCAAGUAAUGCUACGGUUGCUUGUCCUGCAAACUGUAUUUGUGAACCAGAAGGAGAACAUCAUCACUGCAUGUGUCCACAAUAAAGGUAACGUGAGUUGAUAAAUCAGUAGUAUUAUUACGGGGAUGAUCAUUUCAAAAAUCAGAUUUUUGGGGUUAUUUUUUUUCAUAUUUCUUACUUUUUGCUCUUCUUUAUCUGUGACCCAAGUCUGUUAUCCCCAAUUUCUACAAAAUGCAUGUACCAAGUCAGAAAUAUGACAGUUGUUAUCCUUUCGUUUGAUGUGUUUGAGUCUUUAAUUUUGGAAUUUUAUUAUUUUAUUACGGACAUUCAGUUUGGAAUUUUUCUUAGAGUUCAUUAUUUUUGUUAUUUUACUGUUUACUUAUAUCCCAAUAGAUGGUGAUUCCACUGUAAAGUGUUUGUCAUUGUUUUUAUUUUCACGCAAAUGUAUCCUUAUUUUAGUUUGCAAGUUUAAUUCUUUUCUUUAUAUUUAAGCACCAAACGAUUUUCUAAAAUUCGAUGUUGUCAUACUUUCUCUUUUUUUUUGUUAUUCUGUUUUCUGUAAUAUUCAUCAAGAUUCUCAUAUCUCAAAUUCUAAUUUUACACAUACAACAUCAUAGAUUUAAUUUUCGUUUCCAAACAUUGAAUUUCCGACGAUAAUCACCAAGUUGGAGUGGGAGGGGGAAAUAUAAACAACAGUAGUAUACCGAUGUUCAAAAGUUAUAAAUCGGUUGAGACAAAACAAAUCAGAGUUACAAAGCAAAACUAAGGGAACACAACAACUAUAAGAGGAAAACAAAGGACCGCUGAAGUGCAACAAAAAUAAACGCCAACAUACAUAGAAACGAUCUAUUUGAUGACAACUGCCAUAUUCCUGACUUGGUACUUGAAAAAUACACAAACAAGAAACGACAUUGUCUUAGUACAAAUAAAUGAUUUACUAGUUGACAAGUAUUUUUAAACACAAACAUAUAAAAUAAAAUGGUAUGGUUGUAGGAUUUGCUGUAUUAUCAUUAUUUGUAUAAUCAUUAUUAUAAUUUAAUUAUUAUUGUUAUUAGGUGAUGAAUGACAGAACUGGUUACACACAGAUUCAGACCUACACUUUUGUUAUUUUCAAGGAUCGAUCUAAUCAAUUAAAUUAUAGACAAUUCGAUAAUCUGUUAAAAGUUUUGAAAUGAAAGUUUUCUGAUUUUUUUUAUAUUUUUUCAUACUCUAGAGG